rnacentral:sRNA from 1 species
GCGGAAAUGAAAGUUUCCGUUCACUCCUCACACCACAUUCCACCUAGGCUACGGUCUGGGUGGUU